GACAGAGGCCUCGAGCGUUAGGCGGAAUCACUGGGCUUAAAGCGUGUGUAGGCGGGCCUGUAAGUGUCUUGUGAAAUCCCACGGCUCAACCGUGGAACUGCUGGGCAUACUGCGGGUCUUGGGCCAACUAGGGGCAGCCGGAACAAGCGGUGGAGCGGUGAAAUGCGUAGAUAUCGAGAGGAACACCUGCGGCGAAGGCGGGUUGCUGGGCUGACACUGACGCUGAGGCGCGAAAGCGUGGGGAGCAAACAGG
rnacentral:rRNA from 1 species